rnacentral:lncRNA from 1 species
CCAACCACCAGAGUCACAUCCUACAGGUUACUCAGUGAUAUCAAAGCUCCUGAGAAAUGUUGAUGUGAUCCUGUUGGUGAUUGGUUUCAUCAUAAUGUGGUAUGAUAAUAUAUUAUAGUUUUAUAUUCUACAUUCUUGACUCCACCCCCAUGAAGAGCCAUGUUUCAAGACCACAGAAUGGUCAAUAUGGGAUUAAUUGCUACUGGACUUAACAUUGCUAAGUGAAAGGGGCAAGUUGGAGAGAACUGUAUGUCACUAUCUAGUUAAGGUCAAAUAUGUGAAGAUAAUAUCUGUUUAUAGUUUUUUUAAAUAGAAUAAACAAUAAAAUAAAUUUAGAUGGCUAUCUAUUUAGGGGAGAAGGGGAAAUAGCUAGAGGAGAUAGGGCAAAAAGCUAGACUUUUUUGAAAAUAACUGAUUUAAUAAAAAUGUGACUGUGAAACAGUGUAAAUAUGUUAAUUUUGAAAGUAUAAUCAAAUACAAAGGCAAAACCUAAAUGUCAAAAUAAAAAGAAACAAAUGAAGAAAAAUACGCACCUAGUAAGUGACACACUAUGCAGAAAGGGAAUAUUCCAAGGGAUUCCUGAAUUUAGGCAUUUAGUUGUACUGCCAAAUUGAGUAGCGCACUGUGGUCAAUAAAUAAACAAAAUAAAAAUGUAAAAUAAGAUCCUAAA